rnacentral:pre_miRNA from 1 species
CUUGCAUGACGCCGUUAAUUUUUGUGUUUGACGUUUGACCAUUCGUCUUAUGUAAAAAAUUUAUAUAAUUAUCAUUUAUUUUAAUGUGACUUGAUUCAUUAAAUGUUCUUUAAGCAUGGCAUAAAUAUUUUUAUAUUUACACAAAAAUUUUGAAUAAAACAAAUGGUCAAACGUUAGUCGAAAAGUCAACGGUGUCAUACAU